UGGCGUACGGGUGAGUAACACGUGGAUAUCCUGCCCUUUAGUGGGGAAUACCGCUGGGAAACCGGCGACAAUACCGCAUAAUCCCGAGAGGGGAAAGCGGCUCUGUGAAAGCAAAGCCGCGCUGAAGGAGGGGUCCGCGGCCGAUUAGCUAGUUGGUAGGGUAAUGGCCUACCAAGGCUGUGAUCGGUAGCCGGCCUGAGGGGGCACACGGCCACACUGGCACUGAAACACGGGCCAGACUCCUACUGGAGGCACCAGUGGGGAAUCUUGCACAAUGGGGGCAACCCUGAUGCAGCGACACCACGUGAGCGAUGAAGCCCUUCUGGGUGUAAAGCUCUUUCUGCAGGGACGAUAAUGACGGUACCUGCAGAAGCAGCUGCGGCUAACUACGUGCCAGCAGCCGCGGUAAUACGUAUGCAGCAAGCGUUGUUCGGAGUUACUGGGCGUAAAGGGUGUGCAGGCGGCUCUAUAAGUAUGGUGUGAAAUCUCCCGGCUUAACCGGGAGGGUGCGCUAUACACUGUGGGGCUAGAGUGUGGGAGAUGAAAGUGGAAUUCCUGGUGUAGCGGUGAAAUGCAUAAAUAUCAGGAGGAACACCGGUGGUGUGAACGGCUUUCUGGACCAUAACUGACGCUGAGACACGACAGCGUGGGUAGCAUACACGAUUAGAUACCCUGGUAGUCCUAGCCCUAAACGAUG
rnacentral:rRNA from 1 species